rnacentral:lncRNA from 10 species
CUUAUUUCACAUGCUUGCCAGUAUUAUCUCUUACCAAUUUUACAUUAUUGCCAUUCUGAAUGAAAAUUAAUGCUUGUUUAAUUUGGAUUUUCAUAAAUUAUAUAUGAGCUUAUGAAUGUACUUUUUCUGUAUUUAAAAGGUAUUUGUUUUUUCUUUGAAUUCCUCAUUUGUGUUCUUUGCCAGUUUCUAUUGAAUUGUUUUUGUUGUUUACCUUUUUAUUGUAAAAAUGCAGACACAAAAUAAACGUAAAGUUUACUAAUUAUUAUGAGGUGAACACCCUUACCAUCAUGCUAGUCAAAAAAUAAAACUUUGAUAAUUACCUCAGAAAUCUCUCCAUUUGGCCCAUCCCAGCCACAACCCUUUUCCCCCUUCCACUCUUCCUCCAAAGUAAUUGGUAACCUGACUUUUUUGGUAAUCUUUUUUAAAUUUUUUUUAAUGGUGAGUUGUUUGGUUUCUUCUUAUGAAUUUGUAGGCACUUGUUAUAUAUUAAGGAAAUUAGGUCUUGGGUUGCCAUAUAUAUUACAAGUAUUUCUCCUAGGUUUGGGGGUUUUAAAUUUUAACUUUGUUGAUGAGAUGUUUGUCCAUGCAGAAUUAAAAAAAAAAUUUUGGUGUAAAGAUUUUACUUAGUUUUGCUUAGAAAGGUGUUUCCUAAUCUAAGAUUUUAAAAGUUUCUGUGUUUUCAUCCUAUUUUUUUGUGAUUUCUAUUUUGGGUUUUUUGAGGGAGUGAGGAAUGACAUAAAGAUUCAGGUAUGAAUUUAGACUUAUUUUUUUCUCCGCAAAUACUAUAAAUGUUAAAAAAAAAUGAGGAAGAUUUAUAUGGACCAAAAUAUACAUUUAAAAAACAGUAUUAUAUAUAAAAUAUAUAUCUAUUUGGAUUAUUUUUUUCUCCUUGAUUUGCCUUGUCAUCUCUGUCAUGUGUCAUGUGUCCAUAUGUAUGUGAAUAUAGAAAGUCAAGAAAGGCUUUGUAUUGUGUUCCAUUGCUCAAUUUGCCUAUUUAUGUGCCAGUUCUACAUUGCCAUAAUAGUGUAGGGUAUGUCCUCCCAUCUUAUUUUUCAUGAGGAUCUUAGGCUAGUUUUGGCCCUUUGUGC